rnacentral:rRNA from 1 species
GACGGAGGGUGCAAGCGUUGUUCGGAAUUACUGGGCGUAAAGGGCGCGUAGGCGGUCUGUUAAGUUCGGUGUGAAAGCCCCCGGCUCACCUGGGGAACUGCGCCGGAAACCGACAGACUCGAGUACCGGAGAGGAGGGUGGAAUUCCUGGUGUAGCGGUGAAAUGCGUAGAUAUCUGGAGGAAUACCGGUGGCGAAGGCGGCAUCCUGGACCGACAUUGACGCUGAUGAGCGAAAGCUAGGGGAGCAAACGGG